CUACCCAGAGUAUAAUUAACUCUACGAGUGUAUGUCUAGUUUAACACCAAGAAUUCAACUCUUCUCAAUUUGCUGUGUGUGAAAGACUCGUGACCGGUCCGGAUGUACCCUGCCUCUCGCCUGAUGACAGCUGGGAUAGACCCCUGUGACCCCCAUAGCGAAGAUAGGUGGUAGUAGAGGAUGAGAUGAGACAUUGCUGUUGAUUUUUUCUUUGUUUGUUUUUCUUUUUGGUUUUAUUUCAGCAGCACUUGUGCUUCUUAGCACUGAAGUCAGCUUUUUCUUCUUGUCAAAUGUUUUCAUCACCAAAUAGUGCAGUUGACACAUUUCUAGUUUGUACAACAUGUUUUGCCCUGUAGCAGCACAGUAAAGCAGCUCAUCUUAUUUAAUAAUAACUCCUCCUAUAGGAACACAGUCGUUUUUCUUUUUCUGUUAAAAGUAAAACUAGUUUGUGUCCUCCCAAACAAAAAGGUCAAAAUGGGAACUGCUAGUAGUUGUGUCUUGUCUGGGAGCAGCUGUGGUUCUGAUCUUAGGGGUACUGGCACUUCUUGGAACCAAAAGAAGAAGAGAUGAUGGAAAGUAUUUGGCUGGCUUUGAUGAAACCUACAGUAUUGUCACCUAUGAGUUCACA